rnacentral:tRNA from 1 species
GCCGGAGUGGCGGAAUGGUAUACGCAGCGGACUCAAAAUCCGCCGAGGGUAACCUCAUAGGGGUUCGAGUCCCCUCUCCGGCACCA